AGGUGGGCAAGAGAGUAUCCAUCUGUGCAUGCGUGUGUUUGCGUGUUCUUCUUGGAUGUGAGCGCAGCAGUGAGUCAUAUCCACUACUGUUUGUUCCAGACACUGAAAUGUUGGCCUCAAAAUUACCGACGCACUAUUUUUUUUUUUUUUUUAUCAGACAGAGCAUGGGGAAAUCUGCAAAUGAAUCAUUGGCAUGUUGACAUCAGACCAUAAAUUCUUCUCAGCUCUGUCCACAGACUUCUAGUGUCUCAUAGUUUUCAUAGCUUUCAUUGCAGAAACAACACAUGCCUAAUUUAAGAGAUGCAAAGCUGGCAGGAUGAGCUCAGUUUUUUUUUGGUUUAUCUGGAAAAGAACAGAAGCUCCUCCGCAGUGCGCAACUGUGCAGUGAUUAACCUCCCGUCUAAAACACAGAUGUGCGAAGCUGCUGCUGGUGACACUUUCACUGAAAUUCCAGCAGAAACGCGCCUUACGAGUAUAAAACAUCAUCAAUUUGGCUGGAAAGUGAAAACAACAACAACAACAACAACAAAAAACAACAGCAGAGGCUAUGAAGUUCUGCUUAAAAUCUUUUGUGUGUGUGUGUGUGUGUGUGUGUGUGUGUGUGUGUGUGUGUUUCAUGGAAUAAAAAAUAAAUAAAUCUGAACGACAUGAGGGCGAGUAAAUGAUGAAAACAUUUUCAGUUUUGGCUGAAUGAUUCCUUUAAAGCAGCCAAACAGGAAGUGAUUUGCGCUUAUGCCCUUGGAGAAGUGAGAUCCCCGCAUCAACAAUGUUUGGAAUAAUCAAAUAAUCAAUCAGUUAAUUAAUUAGUCUGGUGAAUAAUUGAAGGUCUCAGUCCAGACUUCCUCUCUGAUCUCUAAGAAGCUGGCGUCUGAGUAAGAGCAUCGGACAGUGAUGUAUACAUCGCUUUAAUCAGCGCUUUGAUCUUCUCUACAACACUCGUAUAAGUCAAUUAAAACUAUGCUGACGACGAUGAAUUAUGCAGCACAUUUAUUAAAACAUUUAUCAGCCAGACUUAUUAUAAAUAGAUGACUUUGGUAAAGACAGCGGGCGCAGAUGAAUAGGUCAGUUUAUUUGCUUCUUCACUUGCUUUGUUGCUCCUGGUUUGUUGUUUAUGUCUUUCAGUGAACCUCAACAAGACUUGCCUUGAUUCAUCACGCCUGUUUUUUGAUUAAACAAGAAAUGUGGGAUAAUUUGCCCCACAAGCGCACACGUGCCUUUCCAUGGACAUUUUCUCACAGUCUGAUGUAUGAAAAUGUGCUUGGCUUUGCUUUGUCAUCCUGAAGGCACUACAGCACGCAUGCAGGCCAGCACACGCGUGUGCUCCGACAUCUGCCCGCAGGACGUGUCAGUGGAAACAUCUCGCACCCAGCUGAUCCAGCACAGACACUGAAAGCUUGCAGGGCUAAAGACGUCAGAUGCAAACCCUCACAGUCAUGGAGAACAGAAAAAGAUCAGCUUCGGAAACUCAGUAUUACAUCUGAGAGAGAUGAUGGCAAACGAACACAACUCAGCAGCGACUGAGAACAUGAUUUUCCCCUUAAGCUCCAUAUUCUGGUUAAGCCUUUAUUCUGAUCAGACGUUUGCUCCACAGAUAUUGGGAUAUCCCUGUAUAGUCAGCAUAAACUGAAAAAAAAGGAGUAUUCCACAUUAUGACAGUUUGUAUAUUGCUUAAACUGCUUAUUGCAAUCAGGUUAAUGUGUAAUCAGGUUAAUCAAGAAAAUAUGAUCAUAUUACCCCAAUUCUACAGUCUCUGCACUGGCUACCUAUUAAGUUCCGUAUCAGUUACAAAAUAUUAUCACUUACUUAUAAGGCCCUUAAUGGUUUAGCUCCUGCGUACCUAACUAGACUUCUACCACGCUACAACCCAUCACGCUCCCUAAGGUCACAAAACGCUGGACUUUUGAUAGUACCUAGGAUAGCAAAGUCCACUAAAGGAGGUAGAGCUUUUUCACAUUUGGCUCCCAAACUCUGGAAUAGCCUUCCUGAUAAUGUUCGGGGUUCAGACACACUCUCUCUGUUUAAAUCUAGAUUAAAAACACACCUCUUUGGCCAAGCAUUCAAAUAAUGCAUCUCAUAAUUUUGGACUGCAGUUAUAUCUGAUCAAAUGCGCAUUAUUAUUCUUUAGCUUGGGUUAAACUAAUUAAUUUUACUUGGC
ensembl:lncRNA